GAUGAACGCUGGCGGCGUGCCUAAUACAUGCCAGUCGAGCGAACGGACGAGAAGCUUGCUUUUCUGAUGUUAGCGGCGGACGGGUGAGUAACACGUGGAUAACCUACCUAUAAGACUGGGAUAACUUCGGGAAACCGGAGCUAAUACCGGAUAAUAUUUUGAACCGCAUGGUUCAAAAGUGAAAGACGGUCUUGCUGUCACUUAUAGAUGGAUCCGCGCUGCAUUAGCUAGUUGGUAAGGUAACGGCUUACCAAGGCAACGAUGCAUAGCCGACCUGAGAGGGUGAUCGGCCACACUGGAGCUGAGACACGGUCCAGACUCCUACGGGAGGCAGCAGUAGGGAAUCUUCCGCAAUGGGCGAAAGCCUGACGGAGCAACGCCGCGUGAGUGAUGAAGGUCUUCGGAUCGUAAAACUCUGUUAUUAGGGAAGAACAUAUGUGUAAGUAACUGUGCACAUCUUGACGGUACCUAAUCAGAAAGCCACGGCUAACUACGUG
rnacentral:rRNA from 1 species